GCACAAUCUCAAUAUGGCUUGCAUAAAUAAAAGUCCCAUAGGAGACAAACUCAUCAGCAAUAAGCAGUUUCGAAUAGAUAAACAGCCUGUUGACCUUUAUCCCUUGAAUCUGAAUUCUGGUGUUAUCCCACAAAAUCCAAAUCCCACCACUAAAUUCAACUGCCUAUGAAAUCAGUAGAUCCCAUUUUCCUAAUUUAUUAAUAAUUUUUGAGGCUUUGCUACCACUAACUUUGUGUUCGAGAAUCACAAUCACAGCAGGCUUAGAACACCAAAUUAGCUCCUUGAACUGGAUUGCGAAGCGUUUAUUGGCUGCACCUUCACAUUUCUAAGAAAUGGCAAGUAUUUCUAACGUAAAGAAAGGGGAAAGUAAGAACAAAAGGCGUUGCUUCAGGGGAAGCAAAUCAACAUGAUAAGGCUCCCUCAAAAUGACCUCAUCAUUCCCACCAUCACUGACUUGGCCCCCACCAAGAAGAGGACCACCCUCCCCAGCUGAUAAGACGACAUUGGGAGCUGGAGGGUGGGAGAACUCCUUCCUAAUUAUUUCCGCUAUAAGGUUGUUGGUUUUCAGGAACCCUAGAACCAAGAGAAGAGAAAGGACGGAAAUUGAGAUGAUAGUUAACAUUGUUGAAUUGAGAAAACCAAUCUCCCCUCCCACUACUACUAGAUCUCCCUCCUCUAGACGAAGCAAAUCCUGUUCCUCUCUUUCGGCCUCUAUCAGAGCCCCCUUCACUGACAUGGCCUGUCUGGCAGAGCCCCCUGGCCUGAUCCUUAUCAUCCCUUACAGAUAAUAGGCCUUGCAAACUCUUCUCUUUCCUAGUCACAAAAGUCCUUUGAUUUCCCUCCUAGUCCACAACAACAAUGGGCUUCUCUCCAGCUACCUCUUCCACCUUAACACAGCUAAAUGAGAUCCUCCUCCUAUACGGCAUGAGGAAUCUCAGGAUCUUCUGGCAUCUUGGUUGCAGACAAAUUACUGACGCGUAUCUUUGCCUCAUUCUCUUAGCACCCAAAUUCUCUGUACGUUUACGUACAGGGUGUUGGCGUGUAGUACGCUGCACAAUCAUCCUAAGAGCCAUAAUCCUCCAUUAUUUCCGAUCUGUUCACUGAAAUUUCAGCCUGACCGGAAUCUGCAUUCAAACCCUUCCAUUCUCAUUCCCUUGCUCCUCCACAGGAUCCUCUUUGUCCUCACAGAGUUUAGCUCUAUGUCCACAACAGCCACAAUGAAAACACACCAGCUGGAUACCCUCGUAUUCAAAUCUUAUACACCCU
rnacentral:misc_RNA from 1 species